rnacentral:snRNA from 1 species
CCGAAGGGUCAAACAUGA